AAAUAUGUUCUUCUUCAUCUCGAAGAGUUGUAUACUCAUAUAUUACCUAGCAAUAUUUUAUUACACAACCGAUUAAUGUAAUAUUAUGCCGAUGCGGUAAGCAUAAAAGAAUACAAUAUUACAAUUAUUAACAUAUUUGUUGCAUUUUUAUGGGGUGAACUGUGAGUGCCUACUUGAAGGUUUCCUGUAAGAAUUAUCAUGGUUAUAUGAUAUACCUAUUUUAUAAUGCAAUGUCGUUAUAUGCACCAUUAAUCUUCAACGUCACCUUGUUAGCACUUGUGAGCCAUAAAAUGUGGAUAAAUGUGAUAGUUCAAGUGCGAGGACCAUAACCAAUUAUUACAAUAACACACUUGCUGUUCAAGAUCGUUGUAUAAAAAAAUAGUUACUCAUCACAAUAAAUAUAUUACUGAAGCAGCUUUAUAAUUAUGAAAAGGUUGUAAUAAAUUACAAAAUUAUGUAUCUACUAUCUAUGAACUUUGUUUACAAAAGUUUUUUGGAUUUACCGAAUACCUUCAAAAAUAAAAUAUUAACUAUGUUGAAUUUAUGAUUUUAUAAAUCGAUAUAUUGAAAAUGAUCAACCUGAAAAAGAACUAAAUGGCCAGUUGAAACAGAAAUCUGUUGAUG